CAGUAGCCGCGGUAAUACGAAGGGGGCUAGCGUUGUUCGGAUUUACUGGGCGUAAAGCGCACGUAGGCGGACUUUUAAGUCAGGGGUGAAAUCCCGGGGCUCAACCCCGGAACUGCCUUUGAUACUGGAAGUCUUGAGUAUGGUAGAGGUGAGUGGAAUUCCGAGUGUAGAGGUGAAAUUCGUAGAUAUUCGGAGGAACACCAGUGGCGAAGGCGGCUCACUGGACCAUUACUGACGCUGAGGUGCGAAAGCGUGGGGAGCAAACAGGAUUAGAUACCCGUGUAGUCCCUGUCUCUUAUAC
rnacentral:rRNA from 1 species